rnacentral:tRNA from 1 species
GGCGGGGUGGAGCAGCGGUAGCUCGUCGGGCUCAUAACCCGAAGGUCGUCGGUUCGAAUCCGUCCCCCGCAACCA